AGAGUGCACUAUCUGUGGGGCUGACUGCUGAGAAAAACUGAUUGGGAUGUGCUACUUGGCUUCCCAGUCUUGAAGCAUGGUGUUUUAUAUUGAAAGAAGCUAAUUUUGGUGUGGAGUUCAAAUGUACUUUUCCCCUGUACAUGACUACAGUUUUCUACGUCAGGAAAUGGCCAGUGUUCAUUUCUUCUCUUUCUGCUCUAAUGCAGAAAGAGAAGCCAAAAAAGUUCUUUGAAAAGUUUGCAUUAUACUGACUUGCUUUAAGGGACUCUGUACAGUAUCACACUGUGGUGUAGUUUUGUUAAUAUAAGAGGGAAAACUAAUUAUGUUCAAGAAAAUACAUUUUUUGCUUUUUUCGUUGGAAAACAUUUAAAGUAAAAAACAGUUAAUAUGCCUAUUUGAAGAUUUCAGGUAACCAACCACAUUAGUGCAUAAAAUCCAGUCUGACUCUGUAAAAUAAUCAUUUAAAUACUCUGAAAAAUAGGUUAUUUUUUGAGAAAUUUGAUGCAAAGAUAAAUAUAGAUUGCCUGGCUAUUCUAAGCAAUUCUUUUCAGUAACCUUAAUACAGACAUCAUUAAGAAAUAAUUUUUAGGCAGCUAGAAAGGGUAAAAGUUCUCCGUGGAAUUUUCCUUUAAUAAAAAGCAGCUCUAAACCAUUUCUUCUCUAACAGAAAGCACCCUGAGGAGUCAGGCAUAGAUAUGCAAACUAGAAGCUUUUAUAUGUAAAUGCAGGCAGCUGUACCUGCAAGCCAGGUAUAUUCAAUAUGGUCUCUCCUGCCCUCUUUUUCCUGUCGCCACCAUGUGCCGGCAUCCUGGUAACCUCCAUGUAAAAUCACAUGUUCAGGUAUCAUGGCCACCACCUGGUGGAGGCCACAUUUGCAUAAUAAAAGACUAGGGUGGGAGGGUCAGUCUUUUCGAGGGCUAUAUAAAUGGCAUACCCGAUCAACCCAAUCCCCUGAGCCCCAUGUAAAUCAGUUACCACCUCUUCAGUCCUCUGUACAAAACCGAUUGCCUUCUGCCACAAACUGGAGACCCUUUUUGGGCAACCCACUUUCUCAGCUUGAGGAAGCCUUUUCUCUUUCUUUGUCUGCUAAACUUUCUGCUCCUAAACCCUCUCCUCGUGUGUCUGUGUCCUGAAUUCUUUAUUGACCGUGACAAAGAACCAGGGUAUAUACCUCAGACAGUGGAGCCGUUUCAACAUCUUUAGAAAAGUAGCACAUAAUUGCAAAUAGUGAAAUAAUAUAGGACUUUGUAAAUUAAUCCAGUAUGUGUGUUUCCAUGACUGUUUUCAGUCAUUCAGGUAGAUAUCAGAUUUUCAGAAAGUAAUGUGAUAUAAAUUGGAGUAAUUUGUGACCUGUCUCGUUUAUAAUACAGUAUAAAGCUAACUUUUAAGAAUCUUUAUUUUUCAGGAUACCAGUAAUUCUAUGUGAUAGAAACAUGAGAUUUUAGCUGAAAUUCUAUUGAUGUUAUUCUUUAGAAAAUACUGUUGUCUAAUAAUAUGUGCCGUUGGUUUCCUAGAAUAGAGUUGACCUCUCAUCUCUUCUUUACUGUCUCAAAAACAGCCUAGUCAUAAACCCAGUAAUCUCAUCAUACUUCUGCAUUCACUGACUAAUUGUUUCCCAAAUUUUAUUAUCAACAUUAUCAGACAUAAAGGAAAAUUGAAAGAAUGGUUUACUGAUUAUACUGAUGACCUGUACAUCCCUCACCUAGUUUCAACAGUUGUUAGUUUUUCUUUGCUUUAUCUUUUUUUUGUGUAUGAGUCAUUUUAACAUCCAUUAUAUAUCAUGACAUUUUACUACUAAAUUCUUUAGCAUACAUGUUCAAACAAUGAGAUGUGCUUCUACAAGACGUGGUAUAAUUAUAACGCAUGAGAAACUUAAUGAUAAUUUGUAAAUAUCAUCUACUAUUUAGUGCUUAUUUUACAUUUUCCCAUUUUAAAAGAUAUAGUGUUUAAUCAAAGUUUAUUACAUUUUGUGAUAUCGUUUUAGAUUCUUUUAUUCUAGGGCAGCUUCUUAAUUUUUUUCUGUAAUAUUGACUUCUUUUCCUUAACUUUCUACUUUGAAACUUUUGGAGUUUUUGAACAGAAAAGUUGAAAGAAUGUAAUGAACACCCAGACUCCAUUCACCAAUGUUGACAAGUUGUUAACAACUUUGUUAGGUUUACUUUAUCUUUCUCUCUUGAACCAUUUGAAAGUUGUGCAUGUUAUGACAUUUUGCCUGGAUGUGCUAAGCAUACGUCUCCUAAGAAUAAGUAUAUUCUCUUAUAUAACCACAAUAUUUACUCUUUAAAAACUGUAGAAAUUCUAUAACAUCACAGUCCAUAUUCAGAUGUUCCAAGUGUACCAAAAAUACCUUUACUUUUUUUUUUUUUAAGAGACAAGGUCUUGGUCGGUCACCCAGGCUGGAGUACAGUAGCAUGGUCAUAGUUCACUGCAGCCUUAAACUUCUGGGCUGAAGUGAUCCUUCUGCCUCAGUCUCCCUUCUGAGUAGCUAGGACUACAGGAGUGGACCACCAUGCCAGGCUAAUUUUUAAUUUUUUUCCUUUUGUAGAGGUAGAGUCUUGCUAUAUUGCUCAGGCUGGUCUUGAACUCCUGGCCUCAAGCAAUUUUUCUGCCUCGGCCUCUCAAAGUGUUGGGAUUACAGGCAUGAGCUAUUGUGCCUGGCCCCAAAAUAGAAAAUAGCUUUUAUAGAUGAAUGAAAAUAGGAUCCAGUCACGGUUCACACAUUUUACAUGAACUGUAUUGUGUUUAUGUUAUGUUUAUGACUGUUCUGUUUCUGUAAUCUUUUUUGAUUUUUUCAUUUAAUGACUUUGACAUUUAACCCAAUUAUCUUUAGAAUGUUCCGUAUCACAGUUCGGUUUUUGUUGUUAUCUAGUAAUCAGAUUCUUAAGUGUUCUUAAAAGUUUAAUGUUUUUAGGUGUAGGUUAUGUGUACUUAAAAAAAGUUUUUUAUUGAAGUAUAACGUAUAUACAGAAAAGUAUGCAUAAGUGUUCAGAUAGAUGAAAUUUCACAAAUUGAACUCACUGUUAGAUUAAGAAAUUGCUACUCGGGAAGCUAAAGCGGGAAAAUCGCUUAAACCCAGGACGCAGAGGUUGCCGUGAGCUGAGAUGGUGCCACUGAACUCCAGACUGGAUGCAGAAUGAGACUCUGUCUCAAAAAAAUAAAUAAAUAAAUAAGUUGAUUACUACUAACUCCUCAGAAGCCCCUGCUUGUUCUUUUCCAUCACUACCGGUAUUUUCUUGACUUGUAAAACUACAGAUUAGUUG
rnacentral:lncRNA from 10 species